GGCUAACUACGUGCCAGCAGCCGCGGUAAUACGUAGGGCGCAAGCGUUAUUCGGAAUUAUUGGGCGUAAAGAGCUCGUAGGCGGUUUGUCGCGUCUGCUGUGAAAGACCGGGGCUCAACUCCGGUUCUGCAGUGGGUACGGGCAGACUAGAGUGAUGUAGGGGAGACUGGAAUUCCUGGUGUAGCGGUGAAAUGCGCAGAUAUCAGGAGGAACACCGAUGGCGAAGGCAGGUCUCUGGGCAUUAACUGACGCUGAGGAGCGAAAGCAUGGGGAGCGAACAGGAUUAGAUACCCUGGUAGUCCAUGCCGUAAACGUUGGGCACUAGGUGUGGGGGACAUUCCACGUUUUCCGCGCCGUAGCUAACGCAUUAAGUGCCCCGCCUGGGGAGUACGGCCGCAAGGCUAAAACUCAAAGGAAUUGACGGGGGCCCGCACAAGCGGCGGAGCAUGCGGAUUAAUUCGAUGCAACGCGAAGAACCUUACCAAGGCUUGACAUGAACCGGUAAUACCUGGAAACAGGUGCCCCGCUUGCGGUCGGUUUACAGGUGGUGCAUGGUUGUCGUCAGCUCGUGUCGUGAGAUGUUGGGUUAAGUCCCGCAACGAGCGCAACCCUCGUUCUAUGUUGCCAGCGCGUUAUGGCGGGGACUCAUAGGAGACUGCCGGGGUCAACUCGGAGGAAGGUGGGGACGACGUCAAAUCAUCAUGCCCCUUAUGUCUUGGGCUUCACGCAUGCUACAAUGGCCGGUACAAAGGGUUGCGAUACUGUGAGGUGGAGCUAAUCCCAAAAAGCCGGUCUCAGUUCGGAUUGGGGUCUGCAACUCGACCCCAUGAAGUCGGAGUCGCUAGUAAUCGCAGAUCAGCAACGCUGCGGUGAAUACGUUCCCGGGCCUUGUACACACCGCCCGUCAAGUCACGAAAGUUGGUAACACCCGAAGCCGG
rnacentral:rRNA from 1 species